rnacentral:rRNA from 1 species
UUGAACGCUGGCGGCAUGCCUUACACCUGCAAGUCGAACGGUAACAGGUCUUCGGAUGCUGACGAGUGGCGAACGGGUGAGUAAUACAUCGGAACGUGCCCAGACGUGGGGGAUAACGAGGCGAAAGCUUUGCUAAUACCGCAUACGAACUAAGGAUGAAAGCAGGGGACCGCAAGGCCUUGUGCGUUUGGAGCGGCCGAUGGCAGAUUAGGGAGUUGGUGGGAUAAAAGCUUACCAAGCCGACGAUCUGUAGCUGGUCUGAGAGGACGACCAGCCACACUGGGACUGAGACACGGCCCAGACUCCUACGGGAGGCAGCAGUGGGGAAUUUUGGACAAUGGGCGAAAGCCUGAUCCAGCAAUGCCGCGUGCAGGAUGAAGGCCUUCGGGUUGUAAACUGCUUUUGUACGGAACGAAAAGGCUCUGGCUAAUACCUGGGGCACAUGACGGUACCGUAAGAAUAAGCACCGGCUAACUACGUG